rnacentral:rRNA from 1 species
UACGGAGGGAGCUAGCGUUGUUCGGAAUUACUGGGCGUAAAGCGCGCGUAGGCGGCUAUUUAAGUCAGAGGUGAAAUCCCGGGGCUCAACCCCGGAACUGCCUUUGAAACUAGAUGGCUAGAAUCCUGGAGAGGCGAGUGGAAUUCCGAGUGUAGAGGUGAAAUUCGUAGAUAUUCGGAAGAACACCAGUGGCGAAGGCGACUCGCUGGACAGGUAUUGACGCUGAGGUGCGAAAGCGUGGGGAGCAAAC